rnacentral:rRNA from 1 species
GAUUUCUGGUUUGGCGCGAUUUGUCCGCUCCGGUUAACGGAGAUGUGUACAUUUAUGCGCCUUCCAUCCUUUGCAGUUCCGGCUGGGUUCUUAAUUGAGCUCAGUCAAGGGCUGCAUCUUUUACUUUGAAAAAAUUAGAGUGUUUCAAGCAGGCUUUAUGCUAUGAAUACAUUAGCAUGGAAUAAUAAUUUAGGACUUCGGUUCUAUUUUGUUGGUUUCUAGGACUGAAGUAAUGAUUGAUAGGGAUAGUUGGGGGUGCUAGUAUUCAGCGGCCAGAGGUGAAAUUCUCGGAUUCGCUGAAGACUAACUUAUGCGAAAGCAUU